AACAACCAAAGGCGCGGGAUGCGCCAAGGAAAAUCGAAACGAAUCUGACUCCUGCCUCGGUGCAUUGCAUCGUGUCGGCGAGUGUAUUCGAUAAGUCAUAACGACUCUCGGCAACGGAUAUCUCGGCUCUCGCAUCGAUGAAGAACGUAGCAAAAUGCGAUACGUGGUGUGAAUUGCAGGAUCCCGUGAACCAUCGAGUUUUUGAACGCAAGUUGCGCCCGAAGCCUUUAGGCCGAGGGCACGUCUGCCUGGGCGUCACGCACCGUUGCCCCCCAAACCCCCUCAGUCCUCCACGGAGGAUUGGCGAGGCGCGUGGGGGGCGUAAAGUGGCUUCCCGUCGGCUUUGUCCCGCGGUUGGCCUAAAAAUGAAUCCCUAGCCGCGGUGCGCGCGGCAUUCGGUGGUCAUCGAUCCCUUUCGUUACCCCGCCGCGCGCUCACGUGCCGCGAAGGAUGUCACACUAGUAAACCCGACGCCUCGCUUUGUGAAGAGCGGAGCUUACAACGCGACCCCAGGUCAGGCGGGAUUACCCGCUGAG
rnacentral:rRNA from 1 species